UACGGAGGGUGCAAGCGUUACUCGGAAUCACUGGGCGUAAAGAGCGCGUAGGCGGGAGAGCAAGUCAGACGUGAAAUUCCAGGGCUCAACCCUGGAACUGCGUUUGAAACUGUUCUUCUUGAGUGAUGGAGAGGCAGGCGGAAUUCCGUGUGUAGCGGUGAAAUGCGUAGAUAUACGGAGGAACACCAGUGGCGAAGGCGGCCUGCUGGACAUUAACUGACGCUGAGGCGCGAAAGCGUGGGGAGCAAACAGG
rnacentral:rRNA from 1 species